rnacentral:rRNA from 1 species
AUUGAACGCUGGCGGCGUGCUUAACACAUGCAAGUCGAUCGGUAACAGGUGUAGCAAUACAUGCUGACGAGAGGCGGACGGGUGAGGAAUAUUUGGGCAUCUGCCCACCAGCGGGGGACAACCCGGGGAAACCCGGGCUAAUACCGCAUAGCCUCUACGGAGGAAAGCCGGGGACCGCCAGGCCUGUCACUUAUGGAUGAGCUCAAAUCGAAGUAGCUAGUUGGCGGGGUAACGGCCCACCAAGGCGACGAUCCGUAGCUGGUCUGAGAGGACGAUCAGCCACACCGGAACUGAGACACGGUCCGGACUCCUACGGGAGGCAGCAGUGGGGAAUAUUGGACAAUGGGGGAAACCCUGAUCCAGCGACGCCGCGUGGGUGAAGAAGGCCUGCGGGUUGUAAAGCCCUUUCGGUAGGGACGAAAGCUCUUGCUCUAAUAAUGCAAGAGGUUGACUUAACCUACAUAAGGAGCACCGGCUAACUCUGUGCCAGCAGCCGCGGUAA